rnacentral:lncRNA from 1 species
UUUCUUUUUCCUCUCUUGCGAGACUCCCUCUCUCCUUCUGUAUACUUCCAAUUUACUUUAGUAAUUCACCCAUAAAUUCUACAAAGCCCUGCCUCGUUUUAAAUGUUUUAACAUAUUUCCUAACUACGGUCCUGAUGAAAUUUUUCCGCUACCAAAUUAAUAAACACCAAUACCAUCUGACUGGCUCACGACUCCCGUUCCCAGGGUGGAUCAGGGGUUGUGACAGAAAAUGUGGUAUCAGAGCUAUGCCACUGGUUUAAGCCCUUUAGGUGUUCUCCUAAUACCUAAACCCUUAACCAUUUAUGGUAUUUUAACAAAUUUUGAGUCCAUAGUAUGAACGACCAAUAUGAUUAGACGUACCCAUAAGCUAACUAGACAGAUAUAUUAUACUACAGUCUUAACUUAGGGUACCAGCUUGAGUUACAUCCCUUUCAAAGAUAAAUGAAUGUACUGUUAAAAAAAAUUAUUUCAUAUAUAUAUAUAUAUAUAUAUAUAUAUAUAUAUAUAUAUAGGGGAAGGUUCAAAUGAAAACCACUAGUUAUUGUGAAAACUCGAAAACU